UUCUUAUCAAGAGAAGCGGAGGGAACUGGCCCAGUGAAGCUUCAGCAACCAGCCGAUAUCGGUCAGGUGCUAAAUCCAGCGAAUUGGUUUCAAUUCGAAAGAUAAGAA
rnacentral:ncRNA from 2 species